GGUGGCUUUAAGUGGUUAGAGCUUGGGCCUCGGAUGUGGGAGGUCGUGGGUUCGAACCCCGGCUGAGCCA